UACGAAGGGGGCUAGCGUUGCUCGGAAUCACUGGGCGUAAAGGGUGCGUAGGCGGGUUUUAAGUCAGAGGUGAAAUCCUGGAGCUCAACUCCAGAACUGCCUUUGAUACUGAAAGUCUUGAGUAUGGGAGAGGUGAGUGGAACUGCGAGUGUAGAGGUGAAAUUCGUAGAUAUUCGAAGAACACCAGUGGCGAAGGCGGCUCACUGGCCCAUAACUGACGCUGAGGCACGAAAGCGUGGGGAGCAAACAGG
rnacentral:rRNA from 1 species